AACCUUGGAUUGGUAUACAUAGAGAUGUUCAAAGGAAAAAUCUUUUACCAAUCUAUGAACUUGCCUUAGAAAUCUUGAGAAAAGAAAGGGAGAAAGAGAAAAUGGUUCUUGCUCCACCACCUCCGGUACUUCCUCUUGUACAGUCCUCUAUGAUGUUCUCACAAAAAGACGUAUAUGAAUCCGAUUUUCCACCCCUCAGGCAUCAGAUUGAUCUAGCACAAUAGCUUA
rnacentral:misc_RNA from 1 species